CUCGUCCGUCUCGUGGACGCCCUGACCAUAGGCCCCCGGUCCCGGCUACCCUGGCGGCGUGCGUUCUCCCCGGGACGUCCCACGACGGGCGGCACCGGGCAGAGGCAAAGCCGACAGCCGUCGCAUCCUAGGGAGCCCUUUCAUG
rfam:Streptomyces coelicolor A3(2) complete genome